rnacentral:rRNA from 1 species
CUACUACCGAUUGAAUUGUUUAGUGAGGUCUCCGAGACGUGAUCGCUGCGACGCCUUGCGUGUUGCAGUUGCUUCACAGAAGUUGACCGAACUUGGUUAUUUAGAGGAAGUAAAAGUCGUAACAAGGUU